GACGAAGGGGGCUAGCGUUGUUCGGAAUUACUGGGCGUAAAGCGCGUGUAGGCGGUUGCCCAAGUCGGGGGUGAAAGCCUUGAGCUCAACUCAAGAAAUGCACUCGGUACUGGGUGACUAGAGGACCGGAGAGGAUAGUGGAAUUCCCAGUGUAGUGGUGAAAUACGUAGAGAUUGGGAAGAACACCAGUGGCGAAGGCGGCUAUCUGGACGGUAACUGACGCUGAGACGCGAAAGCGUGGGGAGCAAACAGG
rnacentral:rRNA from 1 species